rnacentral:rRNA from 1 species
GACAGCAGCCGCCGCGGGAAUACGAAGGGUGCAAGCGUUAAUCGGAAUUACUGGGCGUAAAGCGUGCGUAGGCGGUUUGUUAAGUCUGUUGUGAAAUCCCCGGGCUCAACCUGGGAAUGGCAAUGGAUACUGGCAAGCUAGAGUGUGUCAGAGGAUGGUGGAAUUCCCGGUGUAGCGGUGAAAUGCGUAGAGAUCGGGAGGAACAUCAGUGGCGAAGGCGGCCAUCUGGGACAACACUGACGCUGAGGCACGAAAGCGUGGGGAGCAAACAGGAUUAGAUACCCCUGUAGUCCCUGUCUCUUAUAC